CCUCUUCAAAUUAGGGCUAAUUGGAAAAGCUGUUCAAAAGAUGACAUUGUAUAAUUUUUUUGUACUCCCUGACAAAGGAUAUUCAGCCGAAAUGCGUCAGAUUAUUAAAAUGUUGUUUCUUUUGAACAUGCCAUACAAAUAAAGGCAUUUUAAUUCAUUAUCUGAAGAGAGCCUUGGUCCUCCUUUCUUUUUGAUUACCAGGUUCUAUUGUGCUGGAAAUGGAACCCGGCUGUUCUGUGCUCCGCCUCCACAGUAAUCAAGGCGACAGACAGGGACACAUUCAAUACUGCCUUGCAUGCUCUUGCCUGCAUCUAGGUGAUCUAGGGUGUAAUCAUUAGUAUAACAGUUGCACAUAAGAGUUUCUAUUGGACAAAUACCGGUAUUUUUAUCCCCAUGACCAUUUGCUCAUUGUAUACCGUAAUUUCCGGACUAUAAGCCGAUACUUUUUUCCCACGCUUUGACCGGCUAAUUUAUGGAUUUUUCCCGCUUUCACAAGAUUCAUGCCGCCAAAAAACUGAGCACCGUCACAUAAUGUGACGUAAAUCGAGUGCGCUCAACCUUCCCAUCAUUCUGAUUACGGUAGUCAUUUUGUCACCCUCAUCAUGGCAAAGACACGGAGAAAUGCAUAUGAUGCAGCUUUCAAGUUGAAGGCGAUCGAUCUGGCUGUUGGAAAAGGAAAUAGAGCUGUCGGACGGGAGCUUGGCCUUAAUGAGUCAAUGAUAAGACGUUGGAAACAGCAGCGUGAGGAACUGACUCAGUGCAAAAAGACAACAAAAGCUUUUAGAGGAAGAAAUGCAGAUGGCCCGAACUAGAACAUGAGCUUGAAGACUGGGUCAACACACAGAGAGCAGACGGCCGAGGUGUUUCAACUGUGCAGAUCCGACUGAAACCAUCGUGGUGUCUAAGAUUUAUGAGACGUAAGGGCCUGUCCAUCAGGGUACGGACGAGUCUGUGUCAGCAGCUCCCUCCCGACUACGAGGAAAAAGUUCCACAAAUUCACUGAUCUAAAGAUAGAGGAGCUGUAACGGCGUUCUUCGUUUGUAGAAAGAGAGUCGGACCGAAAUGCAGCGUGUAGGUUACUCAUGACUUUAAUGAAUGAAAAGGUACAUGAAAUAACUCAGAAUUACAAAACAACAAACAGAACGCGAAACCUAAAUACAGCCUAUCUGGUGAAUACAACACAGGGACAAACACCCACAAAAUCUAAAGCGAAACUGAGGCUGUCUAAAUACGGUUCCCAAUCAGAGACAACGACAAGCACCUGACUCUGAUUGGGAAAUCGCCUCAGGCAGCCAAACCUAUACCACACCCCUAAUCAGCCGCAAUCCCAACUAUACAAACCCCAACUAUACCACACCCCUAAUCAGCCGCAAUCCCAACUAUACAAACCCCAAUACGAAAACAACAUAUAAACCCAUGUCACACCCUGGGGCCUGUUGCACAAAAGUAGAAUUAAGACAUCCGGGAUAAAUGACUCAGCUGAGCUCAAUGAAGCCAAAACAUGUGCGUCCAGGCUUAAUUGGUUGCACAAAGACCAAGCCAGGAUGAGCAGACACGGAUUCAUUAAGCCAGGUGAAACCAAUCCUGGAUAGGUGCGCGCUCACGGCUCACUCAAAUAGACCCCGCCACAGAUCACAGAUGAACUGAUUUACCAUGGCAACUAGAGCCGCGUACUUUUCCCCGUCGGAAGCACAAAUCCUCAUGGAGGCAUACGAGGAGGUAAAAGAUAUAAUUAAGAAGAAAGGCAACACCGCCACAGUGAUAAAGCAAAGAGAAAAAGCGUGGCAAAGUAUUGCAGACCGCCUGAAUGCGUAAGUAGUGCACAAUUACACACUCACCGCUCCGCUGAAACAUCACAAUUACAAUUCAAAUAUUUAAUUCACAUCUCCAAAAAUGCAGUUGUACUGUAAUUAUGAAACGGUUAAAUUUUUAAUUGAAAUGUACUGCAGAUAUGAGUGAAAUUGUGUAAAGUAACUCCAUCACACUGUAUAAAGCUAUGAUACAUUUUUUGAUAUUUUUACUGAAAACAAGACAAAAAUACCAAGUAAUUUUUGCAGUGUGACUCCAUUAAAUGUGUGUGUGUGUAGAUUAAACAUGAACGGGCCAAAACGGACAUGGCAGCAGGUCAAAAUCAAAUACAAGAACAUUCUGCAGAAUGCAGUGAAAAAGAAUACCCACAGACAAGGCACGGGUGGUGGGUCACCAAAGGCUGACCUUACCCCAGCAGAGGACAUGGCCUUGGAGCUAAAUAAAGGCAGGCCCGUCUUAGAGGGGAUCCCUGGGGGAAAGAGACGAGCAUAGGUUCCUCCCAAGAUGCCACCCGCUUCAUUCAAGUGCCUGGCAGCACUGCGUUCCUGUUAGAGCCACCAGCACAAGCACCAGACGAUGCUGAUCCAGGUGAAGGCCCCAGUGCAGCUGCAACAGCACAUGAUGGAGACGAUGAUGAGGAGGAGACCAUCUCUCUGGAUUCCAGAAGGCAUGAGGACCCAGAUGCUAUACAGUGGGAAAACCAGCCUGGCAACAUAGUGCGUAUUAAUAAAAGGACACCACAUCCUGCCAAAUUCCAGCUGCGCUAAUUGUAUUGUGUUCACAGAGCUCACAAGCUAUCAGAAAGUUGUAUGGCAACCACCUCCGGCGCCAAAUAGAACUGGCAGACAUAGACAUUCAGUACAAGAAGAAAAAGAUGGAAAAUCUUGCACUGGAGUCGAAAUAAAAAAGAGGACAAUUAGGAAACUGGACCUUGAAAUAAAAAAACUUGAGAGGGAGCUCCAAGAAGAUGACACAGCUCAAAAUAAAAAUUAGGUAUAUUCUCGUAAAGUCAAGUGAGCCAUGACAUGAGCUCUUAUUGUGAGCACACAGGACGGUGGCAUCUUUCUAAGGUUUUUUUUUUCCAGCAAUCAGUACAACCAAGUCAUCGUUAUAAGGCAUCGCCCUCUUUUGCCCACCCCCAGCACCAGGUGUGGCCACUAGCCUAUAUGAAGGCCCAAAAUUGUGUGUUCCUUUCUGCUCUGACAAUGGCAUGCCCAUUCGUGCGAGAUGUGGUGGAUGAAGAAGCACUUGUGCUGAGGAGAGCCUUCAGGCGAGAAAGGGUCUUCAUGGACCGGUUGGACCCACUGGCCUUCCCUGAUGACCAUCUAUAUGAAAGAUACAGGUUUUCUGCAGAUGGCAUCAGGUAUCUAUGCAGAACUACUGGGUCCCAGGAUUAAGCACCGCACUGCACGGAGCCAUGCACUGAGUGUGGAGCAAAUGGUUUGUGUGGCCUUGCGCUUUUUGCUAGUGGAGCCUUCCUGUACUCAGUGGGGGAUGCAGAACAGCUGAACAAGGCCACAAUUUGCCGCACAAUAAGGAGUGUGUGUCUGGCUAUCAAAGCAUUAGCAGAUGUCUUCAUCUCCUUCCUGGCCACAGAAGACUCUGUGACAUCAAAGAGGUUCUAUAGGAUUGCAGGUAAGAGGAUCUACAAAUUACAGGACAACUGUUAACACAUAGUAGGAUACUCAUUACUUUGUGUGACAGGUUUCCCCAAUGUCAUUGGUGCAGUGGACUGCACACACAAGGAUAAAGCCCCUCAGGUGCCCAUGAGGCCGAUUUUGUGAAUAGGAAAUCCUUUCACAGCAUUAAUGUUCAGAUGGUCUGCAAUGCUGACUGUGUGAUCAGCAAUGUUGUGGCAAAAUGGCCUGGCUCAGUCCAUGACUCCAGAAUCUUUCGGGCCUCUGAAAUCUCUCAGUGCCUAUCACAAGGUGAAUUCUCUGGUGUGUUGCUGGGAGACAGGGGUAUGGCUGCCAGCCUUUUCUCCUGACACCUUUCACAGACCCCCAGGAAGCACAGCAGGCCUACAACCAUGCCCAUGCCAGGACCAGGGCCAGAGUUGAAAUGACCUUUGGCCUCCUGAAGGCACGCUUUCACUGCCUUCACAAAUUAAGGGUCAGCCCUGUUAGGGCAUGUGAUAUUACUGUGGCUUGUGCUGUCCUCCACAAUGUGGCCUGCCUGAGGAAGGAGAGGGCCCCCAGAGUGCCACCAGCCAUGGACUGGGACAAUCCGGCAAUCUUCCCUGAUGACGACAGUGGUCGGCUGCUGAGGGACCAAUAUGUGUUGAAUUAUUUUAGUUAGUAUGUGUGCUUUCAAUUUUGGGUAAAUAUGUCCUGCGGUGGCAGAGGAAUUUGGGUUUUUUGGGUUCGUUUUUUGACGAAUUUGGCCUCUUAUGAUGUUUGUGCGGUAUACUGUGUGUAAUACA